UAUUUUUACUUUUUCUUACAGAUGGAGUUGACAAGUCCUGAACUGUCACAAGGUGACAUAUAACAAUCCUGACUAGCUGCCAUUGAUAUCCCCAGUUUCCAUUCACAAAAUUACAGGACCCUGCAUAGGUACAAAGUUAUGCAAAAUUGAUCUACAGGCUUUGAAGAACAGAAGCAAAAAAGGAUGAGAAAUGAGACAGAAGAAGGAGGAUUCUAGAGAAUUUGUAUACAGAGACUUAAGGUGGCUAACAACUUAUCUAAAACAAUACUGACUUAAAAACUAUACAAAAAGCAUUAAGGUCAUAAAGAUGAACCUGGGGAUGGAAACAUAGUUCUAUGCAGAAUUCCAAGAGGACAAAGAAAGUGGACUAAAUUACACAACUCACUUCCAUUUCCUCUGAAACUUCCGUAUUUGUUGAGAUUUAAAGUGGCCUUACAGUUGAAAAGAGACCUAUAUUCCAAAGUUGAAAGCCAUCCAACCAUCACCCAAUGUUCUGAAGAUCUAACUGCUUUGUCUACAUUUGAAUGUGUAUCUUAUAAUCAUCAUUUCUUUCUGGACCAUUUUUCAGACAAAUGAAUUGCCUACAUUAUUAUGUUCGUUUAUUGUUUGAGUUACAUUGAUAUUAAGAUUUUUUUAAAGA